CCGGCCCUGCGGUGCUCGUGAUGCAUUACGCGGUCUUGAGCCAACAGAAAGUGAGUCGGGAGCUCCCAGCCGUGCGGUGUUCCGUACGGGGUCGGGGCACCCACCUGCGAAAGCAGGUUCAAGGCUCCGUAGCACACGGCACAAGCGGGGGCGGC
rnacentral:other from 2 species